GCCUAUCUCCGUGGCUCAGUCGUUAGAACACCCGACUAUGAUGCGGUAGAACUCGGGUUCGUGCCCCGCUGUAGGCA